rnacentral:misc_RNA from 1 species
CCCCCUCUCAAGCCCGGCUUUCUGCACUGAGAGCGCGGGCCUUGGAUCGUGGCCUCUGUCGGCUCGCAUACCGAGUCGAAGGCCGAAAACGAUGUAGCGCCCUCGGGGCGCGCGGCUUGACCGGACCGAUUGUACGCACCCUUCGGAGCCGGGACGCGCGCCCUGGACGCUGCGAGCGACGACACAUGAAGAC